CCUGAUCCAGAAACUUCCUCUGAAGGGGCCAUGCUUGACUCGAGAUGAGCCUCUGAUGCCUGAUAAAAGAUUGCUACUAAUGACGCCAGCGAGAAGCUCAUUAUCUGGGAAAAGCCAAAACUGCUUACUCAGGACAAAGCGGCUUCAGUCUCAGCGGGUGGAGAGGCAGAGCCAGGGAAGCCUCAUGCGAUGAUGGCUUCUAGGAUGGACAGGGAAAUACAAAUGCAUCAUCAUGCCA